GUUGGGCAUGGUGGCGAGUGCCUAUAGUCCCAGCUACUCGGGAGGCUGAGGUAGGAGGAUCACUUGAGCCCAGGAGUUCUGGGCUAUAGUGCCUUACGCCGAUUGGGUGUCUGCACUAAGUUUAGCAUCAAUAUGGUGACCUCCCGGGAGUGUGGGACAACCAGGUUGCCUAAGGAGGGGUGAACCAGCCCAGGUGGGAAACGGAGCAGGUCAAAACUCCCAUGCUGAUCAGUAGUGGGAUUGCACCUGUGAAUAGCUACUGCACUCCAGCUUGAGCAACAUAGCAAGACCCUGACUUUA
ensembl:misc_RNA Metazoa_SRP Metazoan signal recognition particle RNA